rnacentral:rRNA from 1 species
ACUCCUACGGGAGGCAUCAGUGGGAAUUUUGGACAAUGGGCGAAAGCCUGAUCCAGCCAUGCCGCGUGAGUGAAGAAGGCCUUCGGGUUGUAAAGCUCUUUUGUCAGGGAAGAAACACCGGCUCUAACACAGUCCGGGAAUGACGGUACCUGAAGAAUAAGCACCGGCUAACUACGUGCCAGCAGCCGCGGUAAUAC